rnacentral:rRNA from 1 species
GAUGAACGCUGGCGGCGUGCCUAAUACAUGCAAGUCGAGCGAACAGAUGAGGAGCUUGCUCCUCUGACGUUAGCGGCGGACGGGUGAGUAACACGUGGAUAACCUACCUAUAAGACUGGGAUAACUUCGGGAAACCGGAGCUAAUACCGGAUAAUAUAUUGAACCGCAUGGUUCAAUAGUGAAAGACGGUUUUGCUGUCACUUCUAGAUGGAUCCGCGCCGCAUUAGCUAGUUGGUAAGGUAACGGCUUACCAAGGCAACGAUGCGUAGCCGACCUGAGAGGGUGAUCGGCCACACUGGAACUGAGACACGGUCCAGACUCCUACGGGAGGCAGCAGUAGGGAAUCUUCCGCAAUGGGCGAAAGCCUGACGGAGCAACGCCGCGUGAGUGAUGAAGGUCUUCGGAUCGUAAAACUCUGUUAUUAGGGAAGAACAAAUGUGUAAGUAACUAUGCACGUCUUGACGGUACCUAAUCAGAAGGCCACGGCUAACUACGUG